rnacentral:rRNA from 1 species
GAUGAACGCUGGCGGCGUGCUUAACACAUGCAAGUCGAACGGGAUCCCGGGGGUUCGCUUCCGGGUGAGAGUGGCGAACGGGUGAGUAAUGCGUGACCGACCUGCCCCAUACACCGGAAUAGCUCCUGGAAACGGGUGGUAAUGCCGGAUGCUCCGGUUGGAUGCAUGUCCUUCCGGGAAAGAUUCUAUCGGUAUGGGAUGGGGUCGCGUCCUAUCAGCUUGAUGGCGGGGUAACGGCCCACCAUGGCUUCGACGGGUAGCCGGCCUGAGAGGGCGACCGGCCACAUUGGGACUGAGAUACGGCCCAGACUCCUACGGGAGGCAGCAGUGGGGAAUAUUGCACAAUGGGCGCAAGCCUGAUGCAGCGACGCCGCGUGCGGGAUGGAGGCCUUCGGGUUGUAAACCGCUUUUGAUCGGGAGCAAGCCCUUCG